GCAGCUGCGGGCACUGCGGCCCAUGAACGCAUCAUCUACCUACCAUGAGAGAGAAAGUGCCCCAUGUUCUGGGGUACCCAUGGUAUUGGGGUAGAUGAGUGGGUGGAGGAGGUACAGGCCAGUAUGAGGGCUAGCCAUUUGGGUCCCAAUGAUCAGGCCAGCUUCAUUUUUGAUCAUCUAGAGGGUGAAGCUAUGGAUGAAAAUGAAGUAUAGACCACGUAUCGAACGUGAGGACCCAGACCGUGUUUUUACAAUUUUAAAGGAUCUCUAUGGGUGUUCAAAGUCUUGUGUCUUUGCAGGAAGACUUCUUUUCUAGAAACCAGUUAGAGGGAGAAUCCCUGCAAGAGUAUUCUCAUGCCCUAUAUUACUUGAUGGAUAAAGCUGUUGCUUGUGCCCCUAAUAGAAUGUCUAACUCUUCUAUUCUGUUGCAAGACCAGUUUGUGGAGAAUGUGCAGCGCUCAGAUCUUCGCAGGGAGUUAAAGAGGCUGGUCCAUGCUGACUCCACACUGUCCCUACUCGAUGUACGUGCGGAGGCUAUUGGAUGGGAACAUGAGGGCAGCCCUGCUAAUGGUUGGCCCUGUCCUACCACUGUCACUGAACUCAGGUCCUUCCUUGGGUUUGCCAGCUAUUACAGGCGCUUCGUGGAGGGUUUUGCAAAGCUGGCUGCUCCCUUGCAUCAGUUGGUUGCUGAGUUGGCUGGCACGAAGACACGGAAGGGACGAGGCCCAGGACUGGGAGAGUGCUGGACUGAAAGCUGUGGGGAAACUUUCCAGAAGCUGAAGGCCUGCCUGGCCGCAUCAGUAAGAAUGCAGAUGCCCUCUCAAGGCAGACCAUGCUCGAGGAAGCCCUCCUGGGAAUAGCGGUACCGGAUGCUCUGCAAAAGGCGACAAAACGGGACCAGUCUUCUGUGGCUGCAGUGCCGAGUCCGCUGACGGUGUCUCUGCUUAUCGGCGGCUUCAUGCCUGUGUAGCGUCGGACAGCCGAGACAAGGCAACAGCUGGCAUGCUGCGGGAUCUACUGCCGAGUCGAGGUCGUGGUUGCUGACUGAUUACGUGGGUGAUUGCUGGAGUGUUCCACCAUGACAGAGGAGCUGCAGGACCUCAGGGAGCACUGAGACAGCUACAGGCGGACAAUCGCAGAUACAGGAAGCAGCUGCGGGCACUGCGGCCCAUGAACGCAUCAUCUACCUACCAUGAGAGAGAAAGUGCCCCAUGUUCUGGGACCAGUUUGUGGAGAAUGUGCAGCGCUCAGAUCUUCGCAGGGAGUUAAAGAGGCUGGUCCAUGCUGACUCCACACUGUCCCUACUCGAUGUAUGUGCGGAGGCUAUUGGAUGGGAACAUGAGGGCAGCCCUGCUAACAAUUAGUGGAGGAG
ensembl:lncRNA